GCUAAUUUUAAACAAUGUAAAACAAGAAGUGUUGCGAAAAUAAGGUGGGGGUCAGUCGUGGAAAAAGCUGUGCAAAUAUACUUUGACCCAUUUUGGAAGCUUUUCGCAUUGUCUCAUCUCUUCACCUUUAAU
ensembl:ncRNA T06D8.16 ncRNA